UACGUAGGGUGCAAGCGUUUAAUCGGAAUUACUGGGCGUAAAGCGUGCGCAGGCGGUUUUGUAAGUCAGAUGUGAAAAUCCCCCGGGGCUUAACCUGGGAACUGCAUUUGUGACUGCAUCGCUGGAGUGCGGCAGAGGGGGGAUGGAAUUCCGCGUGUAGCAGUGAAAUGCGUAGAUAUGCGGAGGAACACCGAUGGCGAAGGCAAUCCCCUGGGCCUGCACUGACGCUCAUGCACGAAAGCGUGGGGAGCAAACAGG
rnacentral:rRNA from 1 species